rnacentral:lncRNA from 1 species
CUUCACCGAGAACGAGAAGGAAGUCUUAUAGAACGAACAAGCGCUAAAGAAGGGGGUGGGAUCUCUCCUAAAAGAAAGAAUUGACCUCGAGCCUGUCCUACUCAUUCUCCUUUUCCCGUUCCUGACCCUGAGUGUGGAGGGGUUAGCCUUGAGCCAGGUCUUGAUUUUUUAUUCCAUUUUGUCAGUUUAAGUACUGGAAUGGGAGUUACGGAUAUUCAUUCCUAAACUAUGUCACCGAUUGGUGACCUGAUCCCGCUAAGCAAGAACUGCUACCGACACCGACUCUAUCUUAACGACCGGUUUGCCCCUGGACAUUCCGCUAAGUCUAGUUGACAAGUUUCCUUUUUUCACUCUGCAAACAAAACAAGCCCUUAGUCAAGAGGUUAGUUGCCCUCUUCGGUAUCGGCAGAGAAAGUAGAGAAGGACAGUGACACAAUAGCUCUAACAUAAGCAAGCUGUCAAGAGGGAGUCAAUAGCUGCCUAUUCUGCGGCGCUUAUUCCCACAGCAGACUCAAUAGCUGCGGUUACGGAUGCUAUUGCUAAGAGGGCAUUCGAGUCGAGUCAACUAUACGAUAGUGAAGUUCCUCGUUGGAAAGACUCUUACUAUACAUGGGGAUGCAGAUAUGUCAGAAGGACCGGAUUCGAAUAUCCCCAUUCUGCAAAUCAAACAUGGUAAAAAAGAUAUGAUGAUUAGUGGGUUUAAUUACGAGUAAGGAGUAUUUUACCUUUUAUUUCGAUCCCUAGAGUAAGAUUCGUGUCAUGGAAAUCAUGAGAGGAAUGAGUUUCUUGGCAUGCGCUCAGGGCGAAGACAUCAAGGUCUCUUUUAAUUUCCCCACACUUUUUUCCCAUGAGCAUGGUUUUGGGCUAGGUUACCAACCUCAAGAGGAGGAUUCCUUUUUAUUUUGAGAAAUGGUUUCAUUCGCGCUAAAGCAGCAGCAUACUUUCAAGGCUGAAGGAAGAUCUUUCGACCCCAGGAAGCCAUACAGACCCAAUCUUCCAUGGCUACUUCCUCAAAUAAGGUGAUGAUUUAGCCUUCUCAUUCAAAAAUGGACUUGGUUGCGCUCUAUCUGGUAUAUCUUUUCUUAUCCGAUGAGGGUUUUUAAGUGGUCUCCUUACUUUAGAGCUAACGUAGAAUCAUCAAUAGUUCCAGUCUGGAUUUCUCUACAAGUUGAUCGCUGAGGAAAAAUAUCAUAGCCCCCUUGAGUCAAUAAGAAUAGCAGAAUUCCGCUUUAAAAAACCUUACCUUAAAUGUGUCGAAAUUGAAGUUAUCUCAUUAGCGGUAAUGAUACUGUUAAUGAAAUAUGCAUACAAUAGCGGAUUUCGUUCUAUUAAAUUCACUAUCCAUUAUGGUCUGAUACAUACAAAUAACGAACGAGCCGACUUUACA